rnacentral:rRNA from 1 species
GACGUCUACGAGUUUGAUCAUGGCUCAGAACGAACGCUGGCGGCAGGCCUAACACAUGCAAGUCGAGCGCCCCGCAAGGGGAGCGGCGGACGGGUGAGUAACGCGUGGGAACGUACCCUUUGCUACGGAAUAGCCUCGGGAAACUGGGAGUAAUACCGUAUGUGCCCUUCGGGGGAAAGGAUUUAUCGGCAAAGGAUCGGCCCGCGUUGGAUUAGGUAGUUGGUGGGGUAAUGGCCUACCAAGCCGACGAUCCAUAGCUGGUUUGAGAGGAUGAUCAGCCACACUGGGGCUGAGACACGGCCCAGACUCCUACGGGAGGCAGCAGUGGGGGAUCUUAGACAAUGGGCGCAAGCCUGAUCUAGCCAUGCCGCGUGAGCGAUGAAGGCCUUAGGGUUGUAAAGCUCUUUCAGUGGGGAAGGAUAAUGACUGUACCCACAGAAGAAGCCCCGGCUAACUCCGUG